rnacentral:rRNA from 1 species
CGUAGGGUGCGAGCGUUAAUCGGAAUUACUGGGCGUAAAGCGUGCGCAGGCGGUUUUGUAAGACAGAUGUGAAAUCCCCGGGCUCAACCUGGGACCUGCAUUUGUGACUGCAAGGCUAGAGUACGGUAGAGGGGGAUGGAAUUCCGCGUGUAGCAGUGAAAUGCGUAGAUAUGCGGAGGAACACCGAUGGCGAAGGCAAUCCCCUGGACCUGUACUGACGCUCAUGCACGAAAGCGUGGGGAGCAAACAGGAUUAGAUACCCUGGUAGUCCACGCCCUAAACGAUGUCAACUGGUUGUUGGGUCUUUACUGACUCAGUAACGAAGCUAACGCGUGAAGUUGACCGCCUGGGGAGUACGGCCGCAAGGUCG